rnacentral:rRNA from 1 species
UCCUACGGGAGGCAGCAGUGAGGAAUAUUGGGCAAUGGGGGCAACCCUGACCCAGCCAUGCCGCGUGAGCGAAGAAGGUCUUCUGAUUGUAAAGCUCUUUCGGACGUGACGAUGAUGACGGUACCUGACUAAGAAGCCCCGGCUAACUACGUGCCAGCAGCCGCGGUAAUACGUAGGGGGCAAGCGUUAUCCGGAUUUACUGGGUGUAAAGGGAGCGUAGGCGGUGCAGCAAGUCAGAAGUGAAAGCCCGGGGCUCAACUCCGGGACUGCUUUUGAAACUGUUGAACUAGAUUGCAGGAGAGGUA